AGCCUGUCAAGUAGCCAAAAAUGACUUGCCUUGUAACCUUCACAAGGGAUUCUUCCUAUCUAAAUGUAACUUAAACUGGAGACCUUUCUGUAGAAGCAAGGCAAGUCAUUCUUGGCUGCCAACCAAGACUCU
rfam:Citrus sinensis cultivar Ridge Pineapple sweet orange scaffold00157_contig_15, whole genome shotgun sequence.